UCCGCUUCAGCUCUCGUAUAGACGCCUCAAGAGAGUCACGCCUUUUUUCUUCUUGGACUGUUGUUGGUGCUGGACUUAAUUCUGGGCCAAAGUUCCGAAAUAUAUAUAUAUAUAUAUAGUAUAACUUGUUGGACAAAUUUUAUGCCCCUAAUUUGUUGAUGCCCUGGGCCUAAGCCCACCUUGCCCAUGUAUUGGGCCGGGACUGAGAGAAGUAAAGAACUCACCAAAAUUUAAAAAAAAAAACGAAAUCAGACCAUGCUUUUUUGAUUUUCAGCUUUCAGAUAUGCCUUCAAGCCUCCUGUAUUCUGUAUUCACAUCACAAAAUCAAGUAAUCAACCAUUGACCUAAUCACCCAAUCAUUUAAUCAAAUACAGUGAAGAUAUGAAUAUGAUGAAUUGAUGAUUCAUGUCGGAAAUUUUAGAAAGAAAUAAGAAACAAACAAACGAAAAAAAGAACUCACCGAUUUUACGAUUUAUAUAUUGAUUCUGUUUUCCUCUUGCUUUAGACAGAAAAAAAAUCCAACCCAAAUCGUUGCUACACCUAUGAAUCGUUGAUACAACUCCGAAUGAAGGAAAAAAAUCCAAUUUAAUCGAAUGGUAGAGACUGAAGAGUCUCGAUCUCCACGAUUAAGAGUCUCGAGAGAUAGAAUAAGAAACGGAGAAAGGUGAAUAGAAAUCGGACCAUAGACAUCGAUUAAGAGUCUCGAUCUUCACGAUUUUCAAGGGUUCCCGUUACAAAAUUGACGAUUGAAGUUCUCGACAGCAUCUUGGCGCUCACGAAAUAAUCUCCCGCUUGGCCGCCGCUUCCGCUUCAGCUCUCGUAUAGACGCCUCAAGAGAGUCACGCCUUUUUUCUUCUUGGACUGUUGUUGGUGCUGGACUUAAUUCUGGGCCAAAGUUCCGAAAUAUAUAUAUAUAUAUAUAGUAUAACUUGUUGGACAAAUUUUAUGCCCCUAAUUUGUUGAUGCCCUGGGCCUAAGCCCACCUUGCCCAUGUAUUGGGCCGGGACUGAGAGAAGUAAAGAACUCACCAAAAUUUAAAAAAAAAAACGAAAUCAGACCAUGCUUUUUUGAUUUUCAGCUUUCAGAUAUGCCUUCAAGCCUCCUGUAUUCUGUAUUCACAUCACAAAAUCAAGUAAUCAACCAUUGACCUAAUCACCCAAUCAUUUAAUCAAAUACAGUGAAGAUAUGAAUAUGAUGAAUUGAUGAUUCAUGUCGGAAAUUUUAGAAAGAAAUAAGAAACAAACAAACGAAAAAAAGAACUCACCGAUUUUACGAUUUAUAUAUU
rnacentral:lncRNA from 1 species